AGAGUUUGAUCAUGGCUCAGGAUGAACGCUAGCGGGAGGCUUAACACAUGCAAGUCGAGGGGCAGCACGAUGUAGCAAUACAUUGGUGGCGACCGGCGCACGGGUGAGUAACGCGUAUGUAACCUACCCUGUACAGGGGGAUAACCCGGAGAAAUUCGGACUAAUACCCCAUAAAGAUAUUUGGAGGCAUCUUUGAAUAUUUAAAGCUGAGGCGGUACGGGAUGGGCAUGCGUAACAUUAGCUGGUUGGUAGGGUAACGGCCUACCAAGGCUACGAUGUUUAGGGGUCCUGAGAGGGUGAUCCCCCACACUGGUACUGAGACACGGACCAGACUCCUACGGGAGGCAGCAGUGAGGAAUAUUGGUCAAUGGGCGCAAGCCUGAACCAGCCAUCCCGCGUGCAGGAAGAAGGCGCUAUGCGUCGUAAACUGCUUUUCCAGGGGAAGAAAUUUAUCUACGUGUAGGUAAUUGCCGGUACCCUGGGAAUAAGCAUCGGCUAACUCCGUGUCAGCAGCCGCGGUAAUACGGAGGAUGCGAGCGUUAUCCGGAUUUAUUGGGUUUAAAGGGUGCGUAGGCGGAUUAAUAAGUCAGUGGUGAAAACCUGCAGCUUAACUGUAGAACUGCCAUUGAUACUGUUAGUCUUGAGUACGGUCAAGGUAGGCGGAAUGUGUAAUGUAGCGGUGAAAUGCUUAGAUAUUACACAGAACACCGAUUGCGAAGGCAGCUUACUGGCCAUUACUGACGCUGAGGCACGAAAGCGUGGGGAGCGAACAGGAUUAGAUACCCUGGUAGUCCACGCCGUAAACGAUGAUCACUCGCUGUUGGCGAUACACAGUCAGCGGCUAAGCAAAAGCAUUAAGUGAUCCACCUGGGGAGUACGGCCGCAAGGCUGAAAACUCAAAUGAAUUGACGG
rnacentral:rRNA from 1 species